rnacentral:rRNA from 1 species
AGAGUUUGAUCCUGGCUCAGAGCGAACGCUGGCGGCAGGCCUAAUACAUGCAAGUCGAACGCACCUUCGGGUGAGUGGCGGACGGGUGAGUAACACGUGGGAACGUGCCUUUUGGUUCGGAAUAAGCCGGGGAAACCUGGUCUAAUACCGGAUGUGUCGGGGAAGGAAUUUAUCGCCAUUAGAGCGGCCCGCGUCUGAUU